UGGAUUCCACAUAUCUACAAUAUAAGAAAGUUCAAUGCUCUGGAAAAGACCGAACUGCCCCUUUGCUUUCUUAAUGAGCCACGUGGCUGCCUUAUUUGCUUCCCUUUACUUACUUCCUUUUUCUUUCCUUUACUACUUCCUAUGCUACGUGUGACAAGAUUUCAAUUUUUCUUUCUCUCUCUCUUCUCUUUCAAUUUGUCUUCUUCCUCUCCCUCAACCUUCCCCUCUUUGUCUCUUUCUUCUUCUUUCUCUCUCCGAGUCUUCUUUCUCUCUCAGAGCGACAUCUCUCUCCGAGUCUUCUUUCUCUCUCAGAGAGACAUCUUCUACUUUCUACUUUCUUCCUCUUCAUUUCCCAAAACGAAACCGACACGGUUAUCAGUUUUUUUGGAUUUCUGUUUAAAGUUACUGUUUAGAUAUUGUGGUUAGUGUUUUUGUGGUUUAUGUGAUGAUUUUGUGGUUUAUAUGAUGAUUUUGUGGUUAGGGUUUUUGUGAUUGUGGUUGAUAUCAUGAUUUUUUGGAUAGGGUUUUGAUGUUGCUAUUGGCCAAAUGGAGAUCUGUGGUGGCAACAACAGGUUACCAGCGGUUAGUGUGGUGGUGGUGGUGGAAACGGGUUUCCGCCGACGAGUGUGGUGGUGGCCGAAAUCAGAAAGAGAUGAAUGGUUGGAGCAGCUGUUGCAGAACAAUCCAUUGUACAUACAGAACUUCUUCCAUUGCUCGCUUGAUGUGGUUGAUGACUGAGAUUGCAGAAAAACAAAACUUCUUAAUAUUCGAGGAUCGUAAGUUUGCCGACAUUGGUAAUACCAUGACCAUGUAGUACGAAAGGUAAUACAUUGCUAAAAAGUUUUGUAAUUUUCGAAAUAACUGACCAUGUGAUUGUUGUUGCUGUUGCAAAAUAUCCGAAGGAGUUUAAUUUGAGGAAUGUACGGACAAUAACUCGAGAAAUCAGAGACACUGAAUACGAAACGGUUAAAAGAUACUGAAUACGAAAUGGUUAAAAGACAAAUUGAAGAUCUUAAUGGAACUGUCCUGACAUAAGCAAAAUUUUCUUACUUGAUGUUUCUGUUUCUUGAUGUUUCUUUUGCAUUAAUUUCUCAUCUAUGUUAAAAUGCACCUCCAAUUUGUGAUAUUUCAAUGAACAUGGGCAUGAAUGCAUUUUAUAAUUAUAUAUAUUUUAACAGUUCCUUCUUGUCUUUUAACCAUGUGCAGCGAAAGCAUUUCAAGGUAUUAUGAUUGAAUUAAACUUCUAUUUUUUAGCCUAUCUUAUUGAGUGAUUAUCUGGUUGACAUUAACUCAUGGUAUCUCUUAUUAGCACAUUCUUUGCUCAUAUUUUUUUAUUUAAAUUGAUCAAUCUUUGCCAUUGCAAAUUGUGUGGAACAACAAUAAGUGGUUGACGCAGUCACAUGUUAAUGAUGGAAUAGUCAGUGCGACCGUAGAGACGUGGCUGCAAUGAUGCAACUACAUAUUCACAUUUUCCCAAUGAUGAUGCCUGCUACUCGCAUUCGCUAAUCAAAUGGUAGUACUAUAGAUGCAACAUUUAUGGAGACAGGGAAGGGUCCAGUGCUCCUAUACAUUAAAAAUGAUUUCCACAUCUAUAUUUCUCUUUCCAACUUCUUAUUAUCAUUUGUCAUGUGUGCAGCUAUUCUUCAAAAUGUUGACAUCGGGUGCUGAUAUUAAGUUUAAUACUUAUUCUGUUUUAUUGAAAAACCAUUUAUCAUCUGGAAAUUGGAGGAAGUAUUUAGAGGGCGGAAUCGAGUCAUACAGUUGCUGUACCGAAUGAUCCGGGGGCUGAAGAAAGUCUUACAAAUGUUGUACCGAAUGAUGCAGGGGAAAAGGUUGUUGAUUUCGGUCUUUUGAGGUCAGGGCCAUGUUUCCUGGAAAUCAAUCAACAGUACCUGCACAAAUCACUACCUCUCAGAUAGCGAAUUUAUAUUAACGUUACAAAUUACAAUUAGCUUUACUUUUUGAGUUAGGAUUCUCUAUCGUCGCACUGUAUUUAUGGAGGGAAAUGUCUCUACUAAGUUCCUGAAUGGUUUAUGUUCUACUACUAACUGCAAAUUGACUCAUAAGGUUUUGUAAUAUAUGGAGUCCAACGAAUUGAAUUUAGUUGUUGUACUUACUGAUCUGCAUACUAAACAUUGAGUUUAAUUGAUUUGUGCAGGUUCUUCCAGAGAGAAUGCCUAAUUGCUCAUACUUUUUGCAAGGUGUAUCAUAGAUUGCUGUUUUUUUAUCAAGUAAAUAAUAUGAAAAUAUGAUUCUGACUUUUUUUUGGCAGGCUUAUGCUCAAACAAAAGUUGUUCAUAUAGACAUGUCAACGUGAACUCCAAUGCAUCUAUUUGUGAAGGAUUUCUUAAGGGUUAUUGUGCUGACAGAAAUGAGUUGAAAAUAAAUCACACUAUAAGCAGUGAGAUACUGAUAAACCCGGGAUAUGUUCUUGCGCUUAACGUCAAAUAUCGAGUUUUUCAUUAUGGAUUGCAAUUCAGUGUCGGGAACUGGAGCUUCGACAAAGCAGGCUGCCGAGAGAUUUUCAUUGGAUCUAUUGCAUUCCACAUGACGUGUUAUAUGGAUGCGGUGAUCUAAUAUUUUCGUCGCACAUGAUCUUUACUCUUACUUUUGUGCGCACAUAUCAGAAAUAUGGAACCCGAAGGUACACCGUAAAUUUGGUGGUAUUUUUUGUUGACAAGAAAUUGCCAGGUUUGCUCAUAUGUACUACAACCUAUUGAAUGGAAAUUCCGGUGACCCUGCAUAUCGAGAUUGAAGAAGAAGUUAGUCCAUCUCCUAACUUGGCUGAGUCACAAGAAUUUGCUGUCCAACGGAAUGGAAAUGGACCUCCUGCUAACAAAGAUAAGAAGGAUGGUCCAAUAUCUUGAUUUCCAAAUCUCAUUAUUAUGUUAUUUCUUUGAACUACUUAUCACUGUUAUGAGAUUCAUUUAACUAUUGGUUUAUUGAUAUUUGAAUUAUCACAUAGCUCAAUAUUAAGGGCAUCUUUCCUUUCCUUAUGUUUCAUUUGAAGUAUCAAACAUGUCUCUUUAAUACUCUUUCUUCAUUUGCUAUGGUUCCUUUGAUCCUAAUAUAUGGAAGUACAAGAGAUAUAUGUGCCUAUAGGUUCUUGCUUUGUGGUUCUCACUGAUUUUGCAUGUGAUCAAACAGACUGAACUAAUAUAUGGUGAUCAAAAUGGCAAUAUUCAUGUGUGGGAUUUCACAGCAAAUUCAUGCAGCUGUGAAUUGGUAUGAGUAAUGAACUCUUUUUAUUGUAUAUUGAUAUCAAUUUAAAAUGGAUAAUGUUCUCUAUGAAAAGAUUAACUAAAUCCAAAAUAAUAUUUAAAAUAAUGAAAUAUUUGAAGUAUAAGUCUUAUAAUGAAAGAUGAGAUUAGUAAGUCUUAUUAUGAUGGUCUGAGUUCACUUUUAAUUUGUCUUGUGGAAGUUAGUACGAGUUGUUAGUCAGAAAUUUAAUUAUGAAUUAGAACUAGGAGUUACUAAUGAAAUCCUGCUUGUAAUCUCUGCUAGCAAUCAUUAUUUCCUCUUUGUUCUGAAUGGGCUGACUGCUCACAUGAACCAAUUGGUAACUACAGCUGUUCUCUGAGUGUUUGAGUGAAUUUUGGAUGAUGAAGCUUGGUUGUUUUGUAAGUUUAAUUUGGUAAUUUUAAUGUGUGGAUUAUUCUGAAUGUGAUUGUGGAUGAACUGAGUUCGUAUUUGUUUUCCAGCUUGGUUUGAAUUUAGAAAGGGUAGCUGCAGGUUCUAGAAUUGUUUGGGAUUUGGGGGCUGAUUCGGAUUAUCAUAAAGGGAUGAUAUGCAGCUGAGUUUCGGCUUACGGUUUAUGCAGCAGAAUUUUUGGUGCAGCUCGAUUUGGUUAACCUCUAUUAUUGUGGAAUUUUUGCACUCUUCUGUGAUAACCAUGUUGUCGAUACAUGUUCAACACGAUAUACCAUUGCGAACUUAUAAUCACAUGACCGGGAGUUCAGACUAUUUUUGAUUCGGAGACGACAUGUUUCGGCAUAAAAAUACUGAUAAAAGAAUUGUCAUCAGAUUCUUCACAACAUGUCCACUCAGCUCUGGCUUCAGUAAUAAUGGGAAUGGCUCCAGUGUUGGGAAAGGUAUAAGUUUCAGAUGCCAGUUUCUGCAGUAAUUUUGACUUCGACAUUAAUACACAAUAUUUGUAUCUCGAAAGUGAAAUCUGUUGUUGGGGCUUAAAAUAUUAUUUUUCUUUUGAGUAUGUAACAAAUACACUGAGCCGAGUUUUGGUUGUAUAUUUUACUGUUCUCAUAUAUGUCACCUGAUUGUGGUGUGUAGGCCAUUGAAAAUCCGAACAACUAGCUACUAAAAUUUGUCUUUUGCAAGUGGGAAGGUCAUGUGUCAUGGUUUGAGAUUGAAAUUUUGUCUUUAUGAUCUGUUGGUUAUCUUUGCUUCAUCAAGCCAUGCUUGCUUUAUGAUGAUUUAGUUUCUAAUAUUGCUUUAUGAUUUGUUGGUUAGCUUUGCUUCAUCAAGUCGAACUUUCUUCCUAUUGUGUGCAUGUAUUUGAUUCCAAUGUGAAAACAUAUGAAUAUGUUUUGUCUGAGAAGGAUACUAAAGAUGUUUUGCCUGGAAAGGAUACAAAGGAACAAAGUACGGCUAAAACAACUCAAUCGAAGUCAUUUUCUUCUAAAGAUAGUUUUGUGACUUCAACUGGAUCUUACCCUUCUAAUCAUAGGUAUCAGAAUUGCAAGGAUGGUGACGAGGAAGAUGAAGAAAUUGAUGACUAGGUUGAUGAUUCAUUCUCAUCUAGAGGACCCAAUAAGAUUUAGCCAUCAAUACUCAAGGUAUCAACUACCUAUAAAACAUAUUAAAUUUGUUGUUAUUUUUUUUGAUGUGGUUUCUUAAAUUUGUUUUUGCUUCAGCCUGUUGUAACCACACCUGGUGUGAACAUACUUGUUGCCUAUUCACUAUUCUUAAAAAGAUGAGCUUAGAUAGGUUAUUGGUAGUUUGUAUUUCUCUAUUUUAUUUUUGUCAAACUGUAUUCUGUAUUCUUGAUGAUGUUAAAUAUGUUUGGCUUUGCUGGUGAGAACUCUGCCAUCACUGAGUCAGACAUUGAAGAGACCUUCAAGAGGCUCGUGAAUCAGCUGAAGAAGACCGCCCUUGAAAUAUUUGAUGCUUUGAAGAGCCAAACUGUUGAUUUGGUCUUAAAUCUUAACUGCUCAUCCUACACAGGCUGUUCGUAGAUCUUUAUUGCAAAAGCAUGGCAGGUUUGUCCCUUACUACCUUGACCGUGAUUGUUUAAAUUCAACUGUGAGGACUGAUAGGAGGAGUAAUAAAGGUCCAAUUGUUGAACAUCUAUCAAUGUUACUGGCAUUUUGACAAUAUCUGUAUUCUGUACUAAGGCCUAAUCUCUGUAUUGAUGAUAGUUGCAAGGAUUGUUUGACACAGUUGUAUGCAAAAGAUAUUACACCAGAUGAUAAGCAGGAACUUGAUGAGGCUUUGCAAAGAGAGGUGCCUAUCUGUUGAUUUUUUUUAUUCUAUAUGCAUAUAAGAUGCCACCAUUGGAAGCCGCUUGAUUUUAUGUAUGCUAAUUUAUAUAUACAGUUAUACUUAAAAUCAUGUAUAGUUGAUUUUAAGUGAUACAAUGUUUUUGGGUCAAAAAAAAAGUGAUACAAUGUUUUCCUUGGUUGGGCUAAGAUAAUUGGAGUUAUCUGUGUUUAUAGUACCUA